GAAUUAUUAAAGCCCCCUCUUAAGCUGCUAACUUAAGCCAAAAUGGUUAAAUUCCAUUUAUAAUUCU
rnacentral:tRNA from 2 species